rnacentral:rRNA from 1 species
CGAACGGGGAGCAGCCCAGAGUCUGAAUCAGCUUGUGUGUUAGUGGAACGGUCUGGAAAGUCCGACGGUACAGGGUGAUAGUCCCGUACACCAAAAUGCACAGGUUGUGAACUCGAAGAGUAGGGCGGGACACGUGGUAUCCUGUCUGAAUAUGGGGGGACCAUCCUCCAAGGCUAAAUACUCCUGACUGACCGAUAGUGAACCAGUAC